rnacentral:rRNA from 1 species
GAUGAACGCUAGCGGCAGGCUUAACACAUGCAAGUCGAGGGGCAGCGCGGGAUAGCAAUAUCCUGGCGGCGACCGGCGGAAGGGUGCGUAACGCGUGAGCGACAUGCCCGUUGCCCGGGGACAACCGGUGGAAACGCCGACUAAUCCCCGAUGGGAUACGAUGCUUCAUGGCAUUGUAUUGAAAGUUACGGCGGCGACGGAUUGGCUCGCGUCCGAUUAGCUGGUUGGCGGGGUAACGGCCCACCAAGGCUGCGAUCGGUAGGGGUUCUGAGAGGAAGGCCCCCCACAAUGGGACUGAGACACGGCCCAUACUCCCACGGGAGGCAGCAGUGAGGAAUAUUGGUCAAUGGGCGGAAGCCUGAACCAGCCAUGCCGCGUGCGGGAAGGAGGCCCUAUGGGCUGUGAACCGCUUUUGCCUGGGGGCAAUAAGGGCGUCGCGCACGUCCGAUGAGAGUACCAGGCGAAUAAGCAUCGGCUAACUCCGUG